GGCUGCCACCAUGAAGCUACAGAUGAACACUGGAGAGGGAGAGCAGGCAACAUGAGCUCCCAUCCGAUCUUCCAGAAGCAGCAGAUUUCCCAACAUUGCCCAACCUCGCUUGCUGCCCGGGGCCCUCCCUGUGCUGGCUGAGCUGGACACUCAGCUUUCCGGGAUAUCCUGCCUUCAGACAGGAGGGAAGCCCAGCGAGGUCUGGAGGGUGGCCUGCAGGGCUGACCGGCGGUGCUAGGGCCCCUCGGGACACAGAGCUCUGCUCCCACCACCCCUGCUGGGGAGGCCAGCCUGCUGAGGCCACCAUCUUGGCUGCCCCACUCCGCUCCAGGCAGGCCCAGCACUCUGCCAUCACCAGCCCGCUCCCUUCGAUCCGGCCAGGCCUGGGAGCCCUGAUCUUCCCUGCCCUGCCCGGUAUGCGGAUGGACCUCAGCCCCUCCUGCCACCCCCAGGGAAGGAGCCGGACCAAAAGAACAGGGCAAAAACAGGAUCAGCCCCGAGCGGAGGAAGCUGUGCAGGAAGCGUCACCUCCCUGAUGUUCACAACCACACAGUGCGGCCACCAAGACAUCCUCCCUCCUCCUCCUUUCUAACAUUGCCCCCAGGGGCUGCCAUCCUCUACUUUCCUGGAAAGGGGGUGUGCCUCCGCUUUCCUGCCGCUGCCCUCCCCUCCCAGAAGGCCAGCUCUCUGAGGGUGGGGCCACCUGUCUUUUUCUUUUCUCAGCAAGCAUUUUUUUUUCAAUUCAAUAAACAUUUAUGAAGCACGUGUUUUACACCGGGCAAUGUGCUUGAUGUCACAACAAC